rnacentral:lncRNA from 1 species
AUAAAGUAAAAUAUGACUUGUAGAUCUUGGCCCGCAAAGAUUACAAAUUUAGUGAAAAGGCCCAAAUCAGACCAACAGAUCCUUCAUCCUUGCCAAAACUAAACAUUUUGAAUUGAUCAACCCAACCAUUUUCUUACUUAAACUGUCCAACUAAAAAUCUAUAAACAUUUUAAUUGACCAUGUAACCUUUUUCCCCCUUACUUUUGAAAUUGGACAUGUUAAUUAAUCUUUUUCUUGCUUUUUCAAAACUAUUAUUUUUUUCUUACUUAAAAUUGUCAAGUUGUGAAGAAAUCACUUGAAUCAUUGGCUCCAUAAAAACUCAACAGUACUGGAUGGAUGACUGCAUCUUCACGGUCGUCGCAUUAUGCCCUUAGCAAGAUCUGGAAAGAUACAGCUAAUAAGCGUUCAACCAUGCUAUAGCUCAACAUUUGCACAUAUUUAAGGCAUGUAGGUUUGAAUGAUUAUAACAUUGGGCUAAGAGAGUUCAUCAAACUGACCACAAUGCAGGUAAAAACAACAGUAUAGAAUUAACUCCCUAUUAAUAUCUAGCCAAUUUGAAGAAUGGUCUUAACAUCUAGAACUGCACCAAUUAGUCUAUCUCGGUGCAUAUGACCAACCUUUUUUUCAGAGAACAGGUAUCACCAAAAAGAAUUUGUCCGAUUUUGCUAACUCCUGUAGUCAACGUUAAAAAAAAUCACAGCAUAAACAUUAAGAAGGUUGUUCUGUAUAUAUAGGUUUAAAGACAGGUGAGGGUAAUAAGGUGCAUACAAGAUUGCAAUAUUCUAGUUUUGUUAAUUUCAUAUGGAUCACAAAUAACACAAACAUAUGUAAGGCGUACAGUCAAAGGUAUGCAUAAGGCCACUACUACCUGGAGUAUAGAAGCUCUUGUAGGGUACGAUGGCAUAGUCCGGCCUUGUAUCAU